UUUUGCACAGUCCGCUCGUUUUGCUCCGUUCUCCCUCGUCCGGACUCGGAUUUGGUCGCCGUUUGCGCUCACGGAUUCCUCUCGAGACGUACUUCAAUCUCAUAUCUUCAAAAUCCUCCAAUUAAUCCUUGAUUUUUCCUGAAAUUACUCCAAAACUACACCAAGACAUCAAAUCUUCAUAAAACUCAACAUUAUGGUACAAACACGCAUUGGCAAACAAAACAUGAAGGAAAAUGACAACAUAUCAUGUGGAAUUGAGGUACGAAAAGAAGAGUUGGGGAAGAUGAAGUGGGUGUGUGUGGUGAAUGAUAUGAGAAAAGAGGGGAAAAAUGGAGUUUUGGGGCUAAAAUCGCGUCUGGGGCCCACUUGGGGGAAGCCCCGCCCUUUUCCCGCGGUCACGGCCCGCGUCCGCGGCCUUCAAACGUGGGGGAUGCUCAGGGGACCCGCGGUCCCGCCCCGCGGCCGCGGGUGGUGACCGCGGGUGACUCCUGGAGACGGGAACAGCUGACCCGCGGUCCCACCCGCGGCCGCGGGUGGUGACCGCGGGGUAUUGGGCGUUUUGCACAGUCCGCUCGUUUUGCUCCGUUCUCCCUCGUCCGGACUCGGAUUUGGUCGCCGUUUGCGCUCACGGAUUCCUCUCGAGACGUAAUUCAAUCUCAUAUCUUCAAAAUCCUCCAAUUAAUCCUUGAUUUUUCCUGAAAUUACUCCAAAACUACACCAAGACAUCAAAUCUUCAUAAAACUCAACAUUAUGGUACAAACACGCAUUGGCAAACAAAACAUGAAGGAAAAUGACAACAUAUCA
rnacentral:lncRNA from 1 species